AGUGAACGCUGGCGGCGUGGAUUAGGCAUGCAAGUCGAACGAUACCGCAAGGUAUAGUGGCAAAAGGGCGAGUAACACGUGAGUAAUCUACCUUCGUGUGGGGAACAACCUUGGGAAACCGAGGCUAAAACCGCAUAAGACCACGGUCUGGCAUCAGACUGUGAUCAAAUGGGGGGACCGAAAGGCCUCUAGCAUGGAGAUGAGCUCGCGUCCUAUCAGCUUGUUGGCGGGGUAAUGGCCCACCAAGGCUUUUGACGGGUAGCUGGACUGAGAGGUUGGUCAGCCGCAUUGGGACUGAGACACUGCCCAGACUCCUACGGGUGGCAG
rnacentral:rRNA from 1 species